rnacentral:other from 1 species
GGGAUGCUGCGGGGUGCGUGAUCGGCCAUUAUUCCCACUGACCGAUACAAAUCUUGCGAGGGAGCUGUCCCUGUCCAUCGCCGUGGCUUUGGAUAUUACGGCGCCCACCUGUUUUUCAGGGUCAUCGCGGAUUAUUCGCUGACACGGCUUUUGUGGCUCCCAC